rnacentral:lncRNA from 1 species
GAAGAAAUCACAGAAGACAGGAGACUCAACCCAAUAUUCGCCCUGCAAUAACUGGACCUUCGCAUAAAUAGAUUAAUGAUAUCAGCUUAGAGGAGAGUCUGUGGAACGCUCUUCACAGAAUGACGCUGGCUUAGAUCUGCUUAUGAUAGACACACCCAAAAAUCAAUGGCAUUGUUAUGAGGCACCUGUCCCUGAAGGAUGUUCUGUAACCUAUGCAGAACUCUGAGAAAAAUCAUCACCAGGCUGGGUGCGGUGGCUCACACCUGUAAUCCCAGCACUUUGGGAGGCCGAGGCUGGUGGAUCACCUGAGGUCGGGAGUUUGAGACCAGCCUAACCAACAUGAAGAAACCCUGUCUCCAAUAAAAAUACAAAAUUAGUUGGGGCGUGGUGAUACAUGCCUGUAAUCCCAGCUACUCGGGAAGCUGAGGCAGGAGAAUCACUUGAACUUGGGAGGCAGAUGUUGCGGUGAACCGAGAUCGCGUCAUUGCACUCCAGCCUGGGCAACAAAAGUGCAACUCUGUCUCAAAAAAAAAAAAAAAAAAAAAUCAACCUUCUCUGGUGGAAAGUGGCUGUGUUCUCAAAAAAUACUGCACAUCUCACAUAGGGAAAGACACCACAGACCCAGAGGAUGAAGGAGGUAUAAAGGUGAUAACUGGAACUAACGCCAGACCACAGGCUGUUGAUGUGGUGUGAUGCUCUGUGAAAUGAAUUCAAGCAUUAAAUCCAACAAGGAUGAGUUCAAGCAUUAAAUCCAACAAGGAUGAGUUCAAGCAUUAAAUCCAACAAGGAUGAGUUCAAGCAUUAAAUCCAACUCUGAAAUGCAGGUCUCCAGCAUUCUUGCUAUUUCUCCUGCAUUCUUGCUAUUUCUAGAACUUUGAGCAAGUGUUUUCCUCUCUGAAUCUAAGUUCAGUAUGAAUAAAUGAAAGUAACUCCUUAUAACACAGUUUGUUGUGAA